AAAACCUUCAUUUCUUUUCGACUGACGAAAGAAAGACAUGAACAUCUUGGAUGACAUGGGGAGUGAUAUGGAGCUUACAGCACCAUGAGAGGAUGGAGUGGAGAAAGCAUUUGAGAGAAAAUGUUUGAAGUACUCUAAACUGGCAACCGAAGUUGUGCAAAAUGGCUGCAAGGUUUUGUCACCACAUGCACAACCAGUCUACUGACGAAAAUAGGAGUUAGGGGUCGCUCUCUCCAACAAGCAAUCAAGUCCCUGUCGAAUGCAGCGGAAAGAAGCAGCAAUUGGCUGUGGAUUGAAUGGAAGGACAUCAACUGGGCGGUGAGAUAAAGACAGGUGGAUAUGGAGGUGUAUCUGAGAUGCCAGGUGUCCCCGUUGAAACAUCAAGUCCUAUUAGCUCUAUACUUUCUCUUACCUUAUUUGACCCAUUUAGUGUUUGUUAAUGUGACAGGCAGACAGUGUGUACCACUGUGUAGAUGGCAGACUCAGACAGAGCAAGGUACUCUGUGGAGACAGAUCAGUGGGAGGUCCUUCUGACUCAUCAAAACAGCAGACACUUAUUCAGUCCAAAAACUGUCAAGCUGCUAGUGUUUUCCUGCUUGCCCUGCAGAAGAAAACAGACUUUCCUGUAAUUUUCUGGUUUUCUCAGGCUGACAUAAUGUCAUGUUUAUCACAAUAAUUACACUGACAUCAUUUUAUUUUCAGGUGCAUUUGCUCACAUUGUUGCCCCAUGAUGACUGCUUAGAUAAAUUGGUAUGUGUGACUUCCACAGAACCUGGACUGUAAUGGUAGCAUGUGGGCAUUAGCUUAUGUGCUUAUACACUCACGCUUCGAAAUCGAAUACUAUAUAAUAUGCAAAAAACAGUACGUCAAAAGAGUAGUAUGUCCAAAUACAUAGUAGUCAAAAAACAGAGGCGAAAAGUUCCCGGAUGACCUAUUGCUUCCACCAAGAUUCUGAAGUGUGCAUGGACACUUUACUUUACUACUUAUGAAUGGAGGUGAAGCAACGCAAAUGAUGCUGGUUGGUCACAUGACAGUAACAACAUGGAUGUAGUAAGUCCGAAUUUCAUUCAUACUACCCAUAUUCAUACUGUAUUGAGUGUACUUUUUUAACGGUCAUAAAUUCAAAUUUAAAUGUAGUACCUACUCAGACAAUACAGGAUUUCAGACGCAGCGUCAGACUGCCUCCCAGUGAGUUAGUGUAGUACACAGCAAUAUUUGCCAAAAUAAGACGAGUCAUGCUCUUCAUUCUUUUUUUAAUUCCAAAUUAAAAGUUGUUUUAAAUAAG